rnacentral:rRNA from 1 species
AUGAACGCUGGCGGCGUGCCUAACACAUGCAAGUCGAACGAAGCAAUUAAGAGGAAGUUUUCGGAUGGAAUCUUGAUUGACUGAGUGGCGGACGGGUGAGUAACGCGUGGAUAACCUGCCUCACACUGGGGGAUAACAGUUAGAAAUGACUGCUAAUACCGCAUAAGCGCACGCUACCGCAUGGUAGUGUGUGAAAAACUCCGGUGGUGUGAGAUGGAUCCGCGUCUGAUUAGCCAGUUGGCGGGGUAACGGCCCACCAAAGCGACGAUCAGUAGCCGACCUGAGAGGGUGACCGGCCACAUUGGGACUGAGACACGGCCCAAACUCCUACGGGAGGCAGCAGUGGGGAAUAUUGCACAAUGGGCGGAAGCCUGAUGCAGCGACGCCGCGUGAGUGAAGAAGUAUUUCGGUAUGUAAAGCUCUAUCAGCAGGGAAGAAAAUGACGGUACCUGACUAAGAAGCCCCGGCUAACUACGUGCCAGCAGCCGCGGUAAUACGUAGGGGGCAAGCGUUAUCCGGAUUUACUGGGUGUAAAGGGAGCGUAGACGGCGAAGCAAGUCUGAAGUGAAAACCCAGGGCUCAACCCUGGGAGUGCUUUGGAAACUGUUUUGCUAGAGUGUCGGAGAGGUAAGUGGAAUUCCUAGUGUAGCGGUGAAAUGCGUAGAUAUUAGGAGGAACACCAGUGGCGAAGGCGGCUUACUGGACGAUAACUGACGUUGAGGCUCGAAAGCGUGGGGAGCAAACAGGAUUAGAUACCCUGGUAGUCCACACCGUAAACGAUGAUUACUAGGUGUUGGAGGAUUGACCCCUUCAGUGCCGCAGUUAACACAAUAAGUAAUCCACCUGGGGAGUACGACCGCAAGGUUGAAACUCAAAGGAAUUGACGGGGGCCCGCACAAGCAGUGGAGUAUGUGGUUUAAUUCGACGCAACGCGAAGAACCUUACCAAGUCUUGACAUCCUGCGACGCACAUAGAAAUAUGUGUUUCCUUCGGGACGCAGAGACAGGUGGUGCAUGGUUGUCGUCAGCUCGUGUCGUGAGAUGUUGGGUUAAGUCCCGCAACGAGCGCAACCCUUAUCCUUAGUAGCCAGCAGGUAGAGCUGGGCACUCUAGGGAGACUGCCAGGGAUAACCUGGAGGAAGGUGGGGAUGACGUCAAAUCAUCAUGCCCCUUAUGAUUUGGGCUACACACGUGCUACAAUGGCGUAAACAAAGGGAAGCAAGACAGUGAUGUGGAGCAAAUCCCAAAAAUAACGUCCCAGUUCGGACUGUAGUCUGCAACCCGACUACACGAAGCUGGAAUCGCUAGUAAUCGCGAAUCAGAAUGUCGCGGUGAAUACGUUCCCGGGUCUUGUACACACCGCCCGUCACACCAUGGGAGUCAGCAACGCCCGAAGUCAGUGACCCAACCGAAAGGAGGGAGCUGCCGAAGGCGGGGCAGGUAACUGGGGUG